GUUAAUGUGGCAGAUAAGUGCAGUGAAUUUAAGCUUCAUAAAUAGGGCUAAGCUCUUUUU
rnacentral:tRNA from 3 species